AUUGAACGCUGGCGGCAGGCCUAACACAUGCAAGUCGAACGAGUGGCGGACGGGUGAGUAAUGUCUGGGAAACUGCCCGAGGGAGGGGGAUAACAACUGGAAACGGUAGCUCAUACCGCAUACCCUCGGAUGUGCCCAGAUGGGAUUAGCUAGGAGGUGGGGUAACGGCUCACAUAGGCGACGAUCCCUAGCUGGUCUGAGAGGAUGACCAGGCACACUGGAACUGAGACGCGGUCCAGACUCCUGCGGGAGGCAGCAGUGGGGAAUAUUGCACAAUGGGCGCAAGCCUGAUGCAGCCAUGCCGCGUGUAUGAAGAAGGCCUUCGGGUUGUAAAGUACUUUCAGCGGGGAGGCGUUACUCGCAGAAGAAGCACCGGCUAACUCCGUGCCAGCAGCCGCGGUAAUUC
rnacentral:rRNA from 1 species